rnacentral:tRNA from 1 species
GCACCCGUAGCUCAGCUGGAUAGAGCGCUGCCCUCCGAAGGCUGAUGUCAAGGGUGGGUGUU